GAUGAACGCUAGCUACAGGCUUAACACAUGCAAGUCGAGGGGAAACGGCAUUAAGUGCUUGCACUUUUUGGACGUCGACCGGCGCACGGGUGAGUAACGCGUAUCCAACCUUCCCAUGACUAAGGGAUAACCUGCCGAAAGGCAGACUAAUACCUUAUGGUCUUCACUGACGGCAUUAGAUGUGAAGUAAAGAUUUAUCGGUUAUGGAUGGGGAUGCGUCUGAUUAGUUAGUUGGCGGGGUAACGGCCCACCAAGGCAACGAUCAGUAGGGGUUCUGAGAGGAAGGUCCCCCACAUUGGAACUGAGACACGGUCCAAACUCCUACGGGAGGCAGCAGUGAGGAAUAUUGGUCAAUGGGCGAGAGCCUGAACCAGCCAAGUAGCGUGCAGGACGACGGCCCUAUGGGUUGUAAACUGCUUUUGUAUGGGGAUAAAGUCAAUCACGUGUGAUUGUUUGCAGGUACCAUACGAAUAAGGACCGGCUAAUUCCGUGCCAGCAGCCACGGUAAUACGGAAGGUCCGGGCGUUAUCCGGAUUUAUUGGGUUUAAAGGGAGCGUAGGCUGGAGAUUAAGUGUGUUGUGAAAUGUAGACGCUCAACGUCUGACUUGCAGCGCAUACUGGUUUCCUUGAGUACGCACAACGUUGGCGGAAUUCGUCGUGUAGCGGUGAAAUGCUUAGAUAUGACGAAGAACUCCGAUUGCGAAGGCAGCUGACGGGAGCGCAACUGACGCUGAAGCUCGAAGGUGCGGGUAUCNAACAGG
rnacentral:rRNA from 1 species